UGGUGGAGUGAUUUGUCUGGUUAAUUCCGUUAACGAACGAGACCUCGACCUGCUAAAUAGUUGACCGAACCGCUCGCGGUUCGCGUCUAACUUCUUAGAGGGACUAUUGGUGUUUAGCCAAUGGAAGUUCGAGGCAAUAACA
rnacentral:rRNA from 1 species